CAGUCGCCGCGGUAACACGGAGGGAGCUAGCGUUGUUCGGAAUUACUGGGCGUAAAGCGCACGUAGGCGGUUAUUCAAGUCAGAGGUGAAAGCCCGGGGCUCAACCCCGGAACUGCCUUUGAAACUAGAUGACUGGAAUCUUGGAGAGGUCGGUGGAAUUCCGAGUGUAGAGGUGAAAUUCGUAGAUAUUCGGAAGAACACCAGUGGCGAAGGCGACUGACUGGACAAGUAUUGACGCUGAGGUGCGAAAGCGUGGGGAGCAAACAGGAUUAGAUACCCGUGUAGUCCCUGUCUCUUAUAA
rnacentral:rRNA from 1 species